AAUAAUUUCAGAUCAACAUCAAGUGGAAGCAUCUAUGAAAGGCAGCACCUGAACAUGAGCAAAUUCUAGAAUUUCUAUGACCAACAAGUUGCUAUUUUAAAUAUGUUGAAAACAUCGCAUUAGCUGGAGAAGAAAGUCUGGGAGUGAGCCGCACAGAACUCCAACUGCCCCCACACACUCUCAAUGAAGCUGGACGAGAGGACCACAAUGGUGCGCCGGCUUGCCUCCACACUCUGCACAAUCUGGUUCUGGAUGUACUCGCCAGGCACCCAGUCCCGGUAGUGGAGGCACACGCGGUACUUGGGCUCCCCACACUCCAGGCCAGGCACCAGCUCCUUCAUCACAAACUCUUCAUCCUUGGGAGAAAAAGAUAAGUCCCCUACAUUCACUGGCAAGCACUCACCAACAAUAGCAAAGAAGAUGAGAAGGAUGAGGAUGACCACUAUGGUGACGAUGACCAUUGGCUGCAUGAAGAAUGGGCACAGGUCAUGUUCACUCAGGUCCAUCACCAGC